rnacentral:rRNA from 1 species
UGCAAGUCGAACGGAGUUAAGGAAAUUUCGGAUGGAACUUAACUAGUGGCGGACGGGUGAGUAACGCGUGGAUAACCUGCCUCACACUGGGGGAUAGCAGCUGGAAACGGCUGGUAAUACCGCAUAAGACCACAGCACCGCAUGGUGCAGGGGUAAAAGAUUUAUCGGUGUGAGAUGGAUCCGCGUCUGAUUAGCCAGUUGGCGGGGUAACGGCCCACCAAAGCGACGAUCAGUAGCCGGCCUGAGAGGGUGAACGGCCACAUUGGGACUGAGACACGGCCCAAACUCCUACGGGAGGCAGCAGUGGGGAAUAUUGCACAAUGGGCGCAAGCCUGAUGCAGCAACGCCGCCGUGAGUGAAGAAGUAUUUCGGUAUGUAAAGCUCUAUCGGCAGGGAAGAAAGGCCCAUAACAGGGAGAUGACGGUACCUGACUAAGAAGCCCCGGCUAACUACGUGCCAGCCGCCGC